UCUUGGGUUGUAAACCUCUUUUCUCAGGGAAGAACACAAUGACGGUACCUGAGGAAUAAGCAUCGGCUAACUCCGUGCCAGCAGCCGCGGUAAUACGGAGGAUGCAAGCGUUAUCCGGAAUGAUUGGGCGUAAAGCGUCCGCAGGUGGUUUAUCAAGUUUGCGGUUAAAGGUUCUGGCUCAACCAGAGACAGGCCGUGAAAACUGAUAGACUAGAGUAUGGUAGGGGCAGAGGGAAUUCCCAGUGUAGCGGUGAAAUGCGUAGAGAUUGGGAAGAACACCGGUGGCGAAAGCGCUCUGCUAGGCCAAAACUGACACUGAGGGACGAAAGCUAGGGGAGCG
rnacentral:rRNA from 1 species